rnacentral:rRNA from 1 species
UACGUAGGGUGCAAGCGUUGUCCGGAAUUAUUGGGCGUAAAGCGCACGUAGGCGGGUUGUUAAGUCAGGGGUGAAAUCCUGGAGCUCAACUCCAGAACUGCCUUUGAUACUGGCAACCUAGAGACUGGAAGAGGUGAGUGGAAUUCCUAGUGUAGAGGUGAAAUUCGUAGAUAUUAGGAAGAACACCAGUGGCGAAGGCGGCUCACUGGUCCGGUACUGACGCUGAGGUGCGAAAGCGUGGGGAGCAAACAGG